GUAAUAUAAAUUUUACAUUGGCUCAUUCUUUAUAUGUUGAGUGGAUUUCAUAACUUGUGCCCAAAAUGUAUUAUUUGGAGACCAUUUGCUCACAUCUGGCAAUGUCGCCUUAUCAUGAUAUACCUGAAUUACUAUCAAUGUGAAAAGGUUUUCCAUUCAGAUCUUGGCAACACCCCACACUUACUUUCCCACUGAGCCACCUCCAUUAUACUAACACUGGCUGUUCCGGACAGUAAUGGCGCAAAUACAGUUUGAUUAGAGACCAGUGAGAUAUGACUACUUUAAAUUAAUGAGUGUGCACAGUAGGGGCAGAAAGCGCUGGUCCUAGUGGCUCUGUGGUGCUAAUUCAGGCAAUCCUGACUCAAGUUGGCUGGGCAGCCAAACAGCUGUGCAGGACUGUUUGUUUUAUGCUGUUUAUUGAAAUGAGUUAUAAAUCCUUCCCCCCGCUUCACGGGGCUUGGAUGGGAUUUAGCAGAGCGGGGACGUAGAGAUGAUUGCUUUGUCACAGGUUGGGUACUCGUUAAUGCCCUAUGUGGCGACAGGUUGACCUACAGUUCUUGUAAAAAUAAAAUCAUUUGUUAAACAAAACGUAAGUCCUGUGUGGGUCAUGGCAGGCAUAAAAGAGGAAAUUUGUAAGAUCUGAGCAGUGGAAUAAGUUGAGAUGUAGGUUUUUGUGGGGAGUAUAUUGGUCCUUGGGGAGAUGAUUAUGAGGCCUGCAUGGUUUAAGUGGUAACAAGGCAGUAUUGCAUCUGCUGAGAGGUAGACAUUAUACUCACUGUGGUAAAACUGGGUAGAAGACAUAAAGGUCAGACGUAAGUGGAAAGUAGGGCGCAGCUGAAUUGCCUUCUCUUUCAGGAGAAUAGCCUGUGUAUUGUAGAAAUGGUUCGCUGGGAAUUUUGAUCCACUGGUAAUAAGCCUCGCAAGGCUUUCUUCUUCAAGUCACCCUCUCUGGCUCAGGCUCUUUCUUUUUUUUCUCCCCAUUCAUUCUCUUAUUCGCUCUUUUCUCAUGAGUUAGCAACCCCCACAUCUCUUUUUUGUAUACCUUGUCCUUUUCAUUCUGCUUUCUCACAUUUGUCUCCACUCUUCAAACCCUUAUGACGAACCUCUCUUUACUUAUGUUCUCUAUUAACAUCACCAUCCAAAAAAGCAAAGGACUGCAUAUCCAGGUUCUCAUCUAUCUUUCCGGGUACCAUACUGUCUCAUUACUUGUUUGCUGUCGGCCAAACUGCCUUCUCAAUACUUGUCACCCCACUGACAAUGUCUGUGCCUGUAAAGUACAGUAUCUGUUUCUGUUGGCUACUGCAGUUUAGUAUUGGUAACCUACAAUGUACACCGGAUGUGGUUGCGUCGCGUUCUGCUUGCAUUGCAGCUGCCAGAGUGGAUCGUACUCCAGCCACUAUGUCCAUCAGACACUUGAAGCAAGAGAGAGAAAAUCAAAGAUAGCACCCCUGAAAAGCUUUCACCGGACAUUGGAACCAUGGUGGAGAUGUAACGCAGGUGUGACGCAACCAAGCCGCUUCCAAUAGACAUUCUGGCGGCUGGUAAGGGCGCAUCUCUCUCCUCGAUCAAGUGUCAGGCGGACCACAUAGAUGCGCCGCCGUCUCCUCAGCAGUCAUUAAUAUCAGAACAAACCCCGACUCUCCGGAGAACAGCCAAUAGCGUCAGAGAAGCAGGCGAGGUGCUCGCAGCAUCCCAGCGCUGGUUGGCUGAGAGGAGCCGUCAGUCAUAUCCCAGAAGCCUGUUCUCAUCUAUGUCUUCUGUUGGAGUGCAGGGGAAUGAGGAAGAAGGCGCAGGCAGGGAAGAAAAUGGAUAUCUGUACCUAUUAGCACCAGAGCUCCCGUCUCAGAUCCCAGGAGGAUUUCUAACACAAUGUUCUACAAACUGAUGUUCCUGGAGGUCGGGAAGGGUUAUCCGCAGCCUCGGAAGAAGAGACAUACCUCAUCUGUCAGCCCGGAGGGUUCUGAUCCAAAGACUGUACAACAGGAGGCUGGUUUAACACCUCCUGUGUCUGAUCUCACUUUUACCUGCUAUGGUGUCACUUGCUUACCUGUUGUGCCUUUGGGACUUCUUUGAUUUUGCUUGGUCAAUAUCACCUAAGAUUCCUUUUUGAAUCUCCAGUAGAACUUAUUCAAAUUUCAUGUAAAUUGCACAAAAUAAAUUAUUUUGAAAGUUUACUCAUAAAUAGAUGACCUUUAUGAAUAAAUAUAAUGCUGUGAGAGUAUUUAGACAGUUUGUUUUAAUUGGAUGCAGAUGGUUUUGCCAUGCCCUAGGUGCUGCUCACUCAAACUUACAACUCAAAAGUAUUGACAUGAGCAGCAUAAUGGCACCAACAGAGACUCAGAUUUCUUCAGUAGAAAUCAUCUAAAGAAACAGACCUCUAUACCUUGGACCUUUACUGUGUAAGUUGACCGUGGUGACUUCACACCUCAUGAAGCCAGUCAAGGGUGCAGUCAGCGCUUCAUAAAACCGCUCUGACAGAGCUUGGCAGUAUCGAGGAGGAGCUUGGAUUUUUCAUAGAUAAAAACAGGAGAUCACCCUGCCAUGAAAAAUAUGCAUCAAAUGUAACACUAUAAAACAUUAUUUUGGGGAGGGGGAGCUUCCUGUGAAAAGGCCUGAGGUGUUUACAGUGUGAGUUAUGUUCUCACUCUUGCUUGUUUAUUGCAGAGUUUGGGCGAAUAUUCCAAAGGCGUUUCAUGGUGACAUUUUGCAAUGUGUUCCGCAGAGGGAGAAAAGGCCACAGAGGGCAGUAGAAUUUAUUGACUGAAUUUCACAGUUAUAAAUGGGUCUUUUACAAGUGACAUAAAGAAAAUGAUCUGUUCUCUGACGAGGCAGUGGAGAUCUGUAAACUUCUUCUGUGUACUGCCAGCAGUCAUGGCACUUGUAUUGAAUAAAGUUUCAUUCAGUGGACUGUAACUUUGCUUUUGAUGAAUAUUGUGCAUCGCAUUGAAGA